GAUCCAAUGGCACAGUGGUUAGUGCGCUUGCUUUACAUGUUCCAUAAAUGCAGAGUUUAAGCAAGAGACCCGUGUUCGAGUCACGGUUGGGCCA